rnacentral:rRNA from 1 species
CGAAGAGUUUGAUCCUGGCUCAGAUUGAACGCUGGCGGCAUGCUUUACACAUGCAAGUCGAACGGUAGCAGGUCUUUUUCGGAAGAUGCUGACGAGUGGCGGACGGGUGAGUAAUGCGUAGGAAUCUACCUGAGAGAGAGGAAUAGUUAAUGGAAGCAUUAAGUAAUACCUCAUAUCUCCGUUAAGGAAAAAGCAGGGGACUUUUUAAGCCUUGCGCUUUCAGAGGAGCUUACGUCGGAUUAACUAGUUGGUAGGGUAAAGGCCUACCAAGGUUACGAUCCGUAGCUGGUCUGAGAGGAUGAUCAGCCACACUGGGAUUGAGAUACGGCCCAGACUCCUACGGGAGGCAGCAGUGGGGAAUAUUGGACAAUGGGCGAAAGCCUGAUCCAGCAAUGCCGCGUGUGUGAAGAAGGCCUUAGGGUUGUAAAGCACUUUCAGCAAUGAAGAAGUUAUAUUAGCUAAUAUCUAAUAUGAUUGACGUUAGUUGCAGAAGAAGUACUGGCUAACUCUGUGCCAGCAGCCGCGGUAAUACAGAGAGUGCAAGCGUUAAUCGGAAUUAUUGGGCGUAAAGGGUGUGUAGGUUGUUAAAAAAGUUAGAUGUGAAAUCCCUGGGCGUAACCUAGGAAUUGCAUUUAAUACUUUUUAUCUAGAGUAUUGUAGGGGGAAGUGGAAUUUCCGGUGUAGCGGUGAAAUGCGUAGAUAUCGGAAGGAACACCAGUGGCGAAGGCGACUUCCUGGACAAAUACUGACACUGAAACACGAAAGCGUGGGGAGCAAACAGGAUUAGAUACCCUGGUAGUCCACGCUGUAAACGAUGAAAACUUGCUGUUAGGCAUUUAUAUAUGUUUAGUGGCGUAGCUAACGCGUUAAGUUUUCCGCCUGGGGAGUACGAUCGCAAGGUUAAAACUCAAAGGAAUUGACGGGGGCCCGCACAAGCGGUGGAGCAUGUGGUUUAAUUCGAUGCUACACGAAGAACCUUACCUACCCUUGAUCUCCAAAACCAAGUAGAGAUAUUUGGGUGCCUUAGGGAAUUGGAUGACAGGUGCUGCAUGGCUGUCGUCAGCUCGUGUUGUGAGAUGUUGGGUUAAGUCCCGUAACGAGCGCAACCCUUAUCCUUAGUUACUAACAAGUAAUGUUGAGCACUUUAAGGAAACUGCCGGCGAUAAUCCGGAGGAAGGUGAGGACGACGUCAAGUCAUUAUGGCCUUUAUGGGUAGGGCUACACACGUGCUACAAUGGUUGAUACAAAGGGUCGCGAAAUCGCGAGGUGGAGCAAAUCUUUUAAAGUCAAUUGUAGUCCGGAUUGGAGUCUGCAACUCGACUCCAUGAAGUUGGAAUCGCUAGUAAUCGUGGAUCAGAAUGCCACGGUGAAUACGUUCUCGGGCCUUGUACACACCGCCCGUCACACCAUGGGAGUGAAUUGUACCAGAAGCAAUGUGCUUAACUUUUUUGGGGGUAGUUGCCACGGUAUGAUUCAUGACUGGGGUGAAGUCGUAACAAGGUAGCCGUAGGGGAACUUGCGGCUGGAUCACCUCCUU